AUUGAACGCUGGCGGCAGGCCUAACACAUGCAAGUCGAGCGGAUGAAGGGAGCUUGCUCCUGGAUUCAGCGGCGGACGGGUGAGUAAUGCCUAGGAAUCUGCCUGGUAGUGGGGGAUAACGUCCGGAAACGGGCGCUAAUGCCGCAUACGUCCUGAGGGAGAAAGUGGGGGAUCUUCGGACCUCACGCUAUCAGAUGAGCCUAGGUCGGAUUAGCUAGUUGGUGGGGUAAAGGCCUACCAAGGCGACGAUCCGUAACUGGUCUGAGAGGAUGAUCAGUCACACUGGAACUGAGACACGGUCCAGACUCCUACGGGAGGCAGCAGUGGGGAAUAUUGGACAAUGGGCGAAAGCCUGAUCCAGCCAUGCCGCGUGUGUGAAGAAGGUCUUCGGACUGUAAAGCACUUUAAGUUGGGAGGAAGGGCAGUAAGUUAAUACCUCGCUGUUUUGACGUUACCAACAGAAUAAGCACCGGCUAACUUCGUG
rnacentral:rRNA from 1 species